GACGAACGCUGGCGGCGUGCUUAACACAUGCAAGUCGAACGGAAAGGCCCUGCUUUUGUGGGGUGCUCGAGUGGCGAACGGGUGAGUAACACGUGAGUAACCUGCCCUUGACUUUGGGAUAACUUCAGGAAACUGGGGCUAAUACCGGAUAGGAGCUCCUGCUGCAUGGUGGGGGUUGGAAAGUUUCGGCGGUUGGGGAUGGACUCGCGGCUUAUCAGCUUGUUGGUGGGGUAGUGGCUUACCAAGGCUUUGACGGGUAGCCGGCCUGAGAGGGUGACCGGCCACAUGGGGACUGAGAUACGGCCCGGACUCCUACGGGAGGCAGCAGGGGGGAAUAUGGCACAAGGGGCGGAAGCCGGAUGCAGAAACGCCGCGUGCGGGAUGACGGCCUUCGGGUUGUAAACCGCUUUCGCCUGUGACGAAGCGUGAUGAACGGUAAUGGGUAAAGAAGCACCGGCUAACUACUU
rnacentral:rRNA from 1 species